GUGCUUGCUUCCUCAGCACAUACACUAAAAUUAGACCAAUACAAAGAAGAUUAGCGUAGCCCCUGUGCAAGAUGACAUGUAAAUUCAUGAAGCAUAAGAAAGGAAG
ensembl:snRNA U6 U6 spliceosomal RNA